UAAGAGGAAAAUCCGUCGACUUUAAAAAUCGUGAGGGUUCAAGUC
rnacentral:tRNA from 11 species